CGGAGUGUGGCUCAGUCUGGCAGAGCAUUGCGUUUGGGACGCAAGGGUCGUUGGUUCAAAUCCAGCCACUCCGACCA
rnacentral:tRNA from 1 species